rnacentral:rRNA from 1 species
UACGGAGGGUGCAAGCGUUAUCCGGAUUCAUUGGGUUUAAAGGGUGCGUAGGCGGAUUAUUAAGUCAGUGGUGAAAGCCUGCAGCUUAACUGUAGAAUUGCCAUUGAUACUGAUAGUCUUGAAUUUGAUUGAGGUAAGCGGAAUGCGGCAUGUAGCGGUGAAAUGCAUAGAUAUGCCGCAGAACACCAAUUGCGAAGGCAGCUUACUAAGUCAAUAUUGACGCUGAGGCACGAAAGCGUGGGGAGCGAACAGG